CGCCGACACGAACGGCGUCCCCUUCCCCGUGUUCACCAGGCACACCGAGAACGCAUCGUCCAGCGCCACCGCCAGCGCCUCCGUCCAGAAGGUCGUCGCUGGGUCCGUCAAGUUGAUCGUCUUCCACAGAUUCACCCCCAGGUACUUCGACCCUAUCGUGAUCCCGGUGAUGUCGUAGCAGUUGCGGCUGCUGUUCGGGAAGCUUCGCACGUUGAGGAAACUUCUAGCUUGCUGCUCGGUGACGUGUUCCCUCGAGAUGUUCGCGUUUACGCCGGUGUCGAUGUAGGAGCCGUCGGAGACGUAGGUGAGAUUGGUGAUUGGAUCGCUUUUGCAUUUUUUAGAGUGGAUGCGGUUGGGAUACACACCUUGAGUGUCUGGUAACUGGCAGUGAACUUGAACGACGGCAAUGGCAGCGAAACCGACGAGGAGACAGCACCAAGCGACAGUCAUCUUCUCCAAGAUCGGCCGCUUCGCCGCGGAAAUUGUCGCCCUCUCCUUUUUCAAGGUGAUGAUGCUCAACUUGCUUACUUUAGUAGAAAUUCUGUGAAUGUUAGCUUUGAGAGGUAGACUAGAAGAUAGUCAUUUCUUCAUGCACGCAACAAUUUGGAGUCGUUGACCUUGACUUGCUAACGCGCUUGUAGAACAAACAAAACUUCAUUUUUGUCAACCAUGGACAAGAAUCUUUUGAGCAGUUGUGAUCAUUCACAAAGGAUUUUGCAGCUGCUUGGUCACUGGGAUUGAACUAAAUGAAUUCUUUUGUGCCGUAGCCGAAAUCUUUGAAUUGAUCACAAGUUGCAGCAAGAAAAAUCCAAUAGGACAAGGGUACGGACAUAGGAAAUGUAUCUUGUUAUUUCGGCCAUAGAUUGACUAAUUGCAUGGUCACAAUUAGGCUUGGAAUCCUGCACAUGGCUGUCGCUGUUGAGUUGAAUUAUAAUGAACCAUCCUGGUUGUUAGCCAUUAGCAAUACGCAAUAAGAUCUAAUAAGAUUUGCCAGUUUCUGUUCAAGAUUGUGAAGCUGAGAAGAUAAUUCACGUUGGUUAUUUGCUAUGCAUUCAUCAAUUGAAGUUUCUGUGUUCCGUUUCCUUGAUGUAGCCAAAUAUUAGAGAUUGAUAUGCAUAAGAUAUAUUAACCUAAUACUUCUUUAGGAAAAGAUUGUACUGACUUUAAUUGUAAUCAAUUAGGAGAAUAAACAAGAAUUGCUGAUUUAUGGACACUUAGCUUUUCUCUUUAUAUAGUUUAUCUGCCAGUUCAAAUUGAUCUUUUUCUGUACUUCAUGAGAUUGUUGUUGUAUGUAGCAUAAAUAAUCAAGUUUGAUAACAUCACAAAAUCUCUAUUAUUAUGGACCUUAAAAAGGCACAUGUGGACUUGGCAAAGCAAAAUUUAGGGUCAACUUCUUGCGUAUUUAAAAAUCGAAAAUACGAGCUGGAGGAUUCACACAUCCAUUGACUGGUAUUUUUUAAUUUUUUUUAUAUUUGCUUGGUAAAGUGAAUCAAAAGAAAAUUUUGCUACAGAAACAGAGUUAAUUUGGUAUCCUUUACAAGAAGCGUUUAUGUGUAGGCUAAGUGUUGCAAUCUAAUGUUGGUUUUGCUAAUUCUGAUCACUUGUCUGAUUGCAUGGGAGUGGAUGUAAAUUGCUGCGAGCAUCAGGAUCAUGUUAAAGAACCAUUGCAAUUCUAAGCUUUCACUCCGUGGGAGAUAGAGAAAGCGAAGCUCAGCCGCGUAAUCGCCUUGCUGAUUUCCUUCAGAAGAAAAAAAAAACUCAAAUGCUCGGGUAUUCAAGCCAUCUUCCCCAAACGGGCAUUUAUUUUCAUGAUCUUCAAGAGCUCUUGAUUGCUGUGUUGACUGAACACUCUUUAUUGCCGACCAUACUUUGAACUGCAUUUUCUAUAGUUGACUUCUAGAUCAGUUUUUUUGAAAAUUUUAAUAAAAUCUUGACGAGCUGUUGGAGUGCUGAAGUCAAUGAUUUCCCAUUUUGACUAA